UACGUAGGGUGCGAGCGUUGUCCGGAAUUAUUGGGCGUAAAGGGCUCGUAGGCGGUUUGUCGCGUCGGGAGUGAAAUCCACUGGCUUAACUGGUGGCUUGCUUUCGAUACGGGCAGACUGGAGGUAUGCAGGGGAGAACGGAAUUCCUGGUGUAGCGGUGAAAUGCGCAGAUAUCAGGAGAACACCGUGGCGAAGGCGGUUCUCUGGGCGUACU
rnacentral:rRNA from 1 species